rnacentral:rRNA from 1 species
UACAGAGGGGGCAAGCGUUAUUCGGAAUUAUUGGGCGUAAAGGGCGCGUAGGCGGCCUGGCAAGUGGAAGGUGAAAUCCCUCGGCUUUAACCGAGGAACUGCCCUCCAAACUGCUUGGCUUGAGUCCGGGAGAGGUGAGUGGAAUUCCCAGUGUAGCGGUGAAAUGCGUAGAUAUUGGGAGGAACACCAGUGGCGAAGGCGGCUCACUGGACGAUGACUGACGCUGAGACGCGAAAGCGUGGGGGAGCAAACAGG